AUUGAACGCUGGCGGCAUGCUUUACACAUGCAAGUCGAACGGUAACAGGCCGCAAGGUGCUGACGAGUGGCGAACGGGUGAGUAAUGCAUCGGAACGUGCCCAGUCGUGGGGGAUAACUACUCGAAGGAGUAGCUAAUACCGCAUACGAUCUAUGGAUGAAAGCGGGGGACCGUAAGGCCUCGCGCGAUUGGAGCGGCCGAUGUCAGAUUAGGUAGUUGGUGGGGUAAAGGCUCACCAAGCCAACGAUCUGUAGCUGGUCUGAGAGGACGACCAGCCACACUGGGACUGAGACACGGCCCAGACUCCUACGGGAGGCAGCAGUGGGGAAUUUUGGACAAUGGGCGCAAGCCUGAUCCAGCAAUGCCACGUGCAGGAAGAAGGCCUUCGGGUUGUAAACUGCUUUUGUACGGAACGAAACGGCUCUGGUUAAUACCCGGGGCUAAUGACGGUACCGUAAGAAUAAGCACCGGCUAACUACGUG
rnacentral:rRNA from 1 species